rnacentral:rRNA from 1 species
ACGGAGGGUGCAAGCGUUGUUCGGAAUUAUUGGGCGUAAAGGGCGCGUAGGCGGUGAUGCAAGUCAGAUGUGAAAUACUCCGGCUCAACUGGGGAACUGCAUCUGAAACUGCAUAACUAGAGUACAGAAGAGGGAAACGGAAUUCCCGGUGUAGAGGUGAAAUGCGUAGAUAUCGGGAGGAACACCAGUGGCGAAGGCGGUUUCCUGGCCUAAUACUGACGCUGAAGCGCGAAAGCGUGGGGAGCGAACAG